ensembl:miRNA
UGAAUAUAUGUGUGUGUGUGUGUAUCAUUCAUUGAUGUAAGUGUACACAUACAUACAUACAUACAUACACAC